AGGCGAGGGCGUUCGGCGACGUUACUGGGGCUGCACGGUGCUUGUAGCUGGGCAGUCUUAUCAUCAGAGUGGAGCCUGGUAACCACGACCUCCCCGCCAGACAUGAACUUAUGAAUUCAACACAUGAAGACUUACAACUUGAUAAACCAGCUUCAGGAGGUUCCUGAAAGGGAGAGAGGAAAUCUUCGAUUUUUCAUGGCUGUGAACCACUGCAAGUAUUGAAGAAAUAUUUACUACUUCCAGCCUCAUAAUCCUGCAGUCAUUUGGCACCUCUGAAGCCUUGGGGAGCACUGAAGCCAAGGCUGCACCGUACCAAAAAUUUGAAACAUGUGAAUGAGCUGAAUGUGGAAGGACUACCGGAAAACACUCCUUUCAGAAUCCCCUCAUUGCAUGAAAUCCCAAGGCUCGAAAACAUCUUUCAAGUGAGCAAUUGAAUUAAGUUUGUUAUUAAGAGUAACUCCAGUUAGCCUCCAUUGUCUCCAAGCCGGCUUUUGUCCUCAUCCACAACGCCUCCACACAAGCUCUGAACACCUGUCCAUUGCUAACUUGAGACUGCCAUGCUGUUAGGAAGUUCAAGUUCACCACAUGGAGAUGAAAUAAGAUAUCAUGAUAAACAUCCCCAGCUGAUCCCAGCCUCCAGUGAUCCAUCAACUACAUAUAUGAUCCUAAGUCACAUGUGUGACCCCGAGCAAGAUCAGCAGAACAAUCACUCAGCCAACCCACAGAACCCUGAAAAAAUAUAAAUCAUUAUAGUUUAAACCACAAGUUUUGGGUAGCUUGUUAUGCUGCUAUUGAUAAUUAAAACAAACUGGAAUAUUUUCAUCUA
rnacentral:lncRNA from 1 species